UUGUCUCCCCAAUCAAGAUCCUACAAACCUGGGAUACUUAAACUCACAAAAUUAACGGUUAUAGUGGCGGUCCAGAGCGGUUCUAAUCGGUUCCCUCAACUAGUGGUUACCUCCACUUUUUUCUGUCCAUCAUCUCCCUGUCAAUUCAGUUGAGGAGUCCUCUUAUAUAAUGUACAGUACAGGCCCUGCAAACUAAAAUUCCUAUCUUCAAUUGAAGCAUUCUUGAAGAACCACUCGAGUAGUGAACACAGAUGAGGGAUAAGCAGUAGUCUUCUCCCUCCCAUCUUCCAAAUCGGUUGUAAUUUCACUCAUGUCACAUGACAUGAAUGUGUCUCUUUCACAAGGUCUAGUUCAACUCAUUCAUCAAUUACUUGAUUUGUAGAAUACAUUUUUACGAGCUUUCCAUAAGGCUCAUUCAUUUGAGGCUGCUCAGUGCAGAUGGUUAGUGAAUUUGGAAUCUGUACCUUCCAAACGACCAAUUUCAAAACUUGAGUUUGAGUUUGAAAAGCAAAGUUUAACUAAGAAUAAUGUGAGAGAGCUGUUUUGUAAGGAGAUGUCUGAUUGAAGAAUUCCUUAGACUUGAAUCCUCAAUGGAAUCAGGAGUUUAGUUUGGUUGUCAAGGACCCGGAAUUACAAGCUUUGGAGGUCAUAGUUUAAUAUUGGGAACAAGUACGUUUCUUUUAUCCUUUAACGUCACAAUAUUAAAAGAUGUAACGGACGGUUUUCUUUUAUAAAUUGAAGAAUGUGUUUUUGUUUAUAAUGUUGUUUAAAUUUGUGUAUACUUAAUAUAGAUUAUCUUUUUUUAGUUACGCUGU
rnacentral:lncRNA from 1 species